rnacentral:miRNA from 1 species
UGGCAGGGAGGCAGGGAGUGAG